UACGUAGGCAGCAAGCGUUGUUCGGAGUUACUGGGCGUAAAGGGUGCGUAGGCGGCUUGGUAAGUGUGGUGUGAAAUCUCCCGGCUCAACUGGGAGGGUGCGCUACAAACUGCCGGGGCUAGAGUGCGGGAGAGGAGAGUGGAAUUCCUGGUGUAGCGGUGAAAUGCGUAGAUAUCAGGAGGAACACCAAUGGCGAAGGCAGCUCACUGGGACGGUAUUGACGCUGAGACGCGAAAGCGUGGGGAGCAAACAGG
rnacentral:rRNA from 1 species